rnacentral:lncRNA from 1 species
CACAGCCCUGGUGCCCUGAAAUGAGCGCACCUGGAAGAGCGCUCCUCCCUUUGCGAGCCUCUCAAAGCAGGUAGGAUGGGCAGAGAGGGGCUGUACAGUGCCGCCGAGAACAGCGGGAGAAGCCCUGCCUUGACUGGGAGCAGCCGUUAGGUGGCAGCACAGGGCACGUCUUUCCAGGUCUUUCCACAACGGAUGGGCCAAAGUGAGGCACCGAAUUUUCUAGGAAGGGAUAACCUAGAACCAUAUCAGGGCAGGCAUUUGGGCUGAGACCAGCGAAAAGUGAGUCAGCCAAGACUCCCCGUGACACCGUGCUGUCUGGCAGCCAGCUGGGGCACGCGGGUGUCUGCUUCCUCUGGUAGAAGAUUCUACGGCAGACCUUAGGCCCAAUAGAAUAUUUUCACCCUGACAUCUAGAUUUUAACUUUUAUUUUAAUGUUUUUUUCCCUCUCUCUAGUUUUGUUUUUUGUUUCUUUGAGAUAGCAUCUCAUGUAGCCCAGGCUGGCCUCAGACUCCCUCUGUGAUCAGGAAUGACCUUAAAUGACGGAUCUCAUUGCUUCUGCCUCCAAGGGCUGAGCUUAAAUGAAUGCCACACGACACCUCGAUCUUAAAGGCAAGCCAUCCGAAGCCCAGACAUUGGCCUGCCCUCCUGUUGGUUCUGUGCUGGGAACCCAUUCCAGUGUGGGUAUGGCUUCACUAGUGCCAGCCGAGUAUAUGUCUGUCCUCUGGUUUCAAAGUAUUAAUGGACGUCUACUUGGUAUAACUAAAGUACUAUUAACUUGAGCCAGGCAUGGUGACAUAGGUCUGGAAUCAUCCCUAGGGAGGUGGAGGUAGGAGGUUAGAAGUUCAAAGCCAGCCUCAUCUACAUAGUUGGCUAUGCAGCAAAUUCAAGGUCAGCUUGGGCUACAUGAUAGCCUGUCUCUGGGGUAGGGAGUUGGGGGACUAAUUUGAUUUUUCCUAGUUUCUAGUGUGAAACUAGGGGGAGAAUCUUUGCACGUGGUAGAGUGGGCUUAUGGGACACGGGUAAAGAAAAACAAGCUUUCUUUCUGCCUCCAGCUACCUAUCCACUUGGGAGAAACGUGAGAGCCUAUAGUCCAGAUAGCGGGAGUCUGCAGCCUCAGCGCUCCAUGCUGAAUGGAAUGCAAGCCUUUUUAGGGAACUAGCUGGUACAAUCGUGCCUCUUAUCAAGAGUGGCCUAGCAUUACAGGGCCGGGCCAUGCACACCCAAAAUAACUCACCAGUCCUCUCAAAUGACAUUAGUAAAACCAAAUGUAUUCCUAGAAUUUAAACACAGGCUCAAACAACUGCCCCCGUAACAAAACCGUGUUCUCAGACUUCAACUAAUUUAGGGGACAGGUCAGUGAUCAAAGCAAAGAAAGGCCUUAUUAUAAGGUAGCAUUGGCUUGAAGGCUCUGGCCUCAGAAGGGAAAUUUCCCUAGAAAACAACUCCUGAUUCAAAGCUUACUGGUUAAAAAAAAAAAAAAAAAAAAAAAAAAAGAAGCAAGUCCAGGACUCCCAGCAGGCGGAGUCUGCGACUCUGAAACUAUGAAGUCCCAGAAGCAGCUUCAGCUCUCCCUCAAUGGACACUUGAAACCACACGGUGCAGGCAUGCCUCAGAAAAAGGCAGCCUUUAUGCUGAGCAGACCUCCUUGGAGCCUCAGCAUGGUGGUACACACUUGUAAUCCCAGCACUAGGGAGGCUAAGGCAGAAGGGAGUUUGAGGACCAGCCUGGGCUACAUAGAGACUUUCAAGCAAACCUAGGCUAUAAGCAAGAAUCUAUCUCCAAAAAGUGAAUACUAAGGUUCAUACUAAGGCAGGGCACUGGAUAUCACAAGAUCUUAUGAGGUGCAGGCAGACAGGAGGAUCGGGACUUCCUUGCCUAUAUAGCUAGCUAAAGGACAAGCUGGGAUACAUGUGACCCAUUCUGAGUCUACCCAGGAGAAAAGACCACCAAUAACAGAACAUCACACUUCCUUUGCUAAAACAGUUCUUAGCUCAAGGAGUACAGAUUCUAGAACACACACCAAACAUGUGGGAAAUGGCAAUUAAGACAUGCCACAUUGGGAAAAGAAUAAACACACAAAACAAAAC